AAAAGUAGGCGCAGGCGGUUGCGGAUUAGCGAAAGCUAGUCUGAGGAAAGUCCGGGCUCCCGAAAAACCAAACUUGCUGGGUAACGCCCAGUGCGAGCGAUCGUGAGGAUAGUGCCACAGAAAGAUACCGCCCCCCAUUUAGAGAUUGCAGAUUGGAGAUUGGAGAUUGCAUCAAAAAUCGAUCGUCAAAAAUCGCAAAGUGUUAGGGGGUAAGGGUGCAAAGGUGCGGUAAGAGCGCACCAGCAGCAUCGAGAGGUGCUGGCUAGGUAAACCCCGGUUGGGAGCAAGGUCGGAGGGACUAUGGUUGGUUUUUUACCGGUUCCGGCGUCCCAGAUAGAUAACUGCCCUCGAAAACUGCUUGCAGUUGAGAGAACAGAACCCGGCUUAUGUCCGACUUUUUCCC
rnacentral:RNase_P_RNA from 1 species